rnacentral:rRNA from 1 species
AUGAACGCUGGCGGCGUCCCUAAUACAUGCAAGUCGAGCGAACGGACGAGAAGCUUGCUUCUCUGAUGUUAGCGGCGGACGGGUGAGUAACACGUGGAUAACCUACCUAUAAGACUGGGAUAACUUCGGGAAACCGGAGCUAAUACCGGAUAAUAUUUUGAACCGCAUGGUUCAAAAGUGAAAGACGGUCUUGCUGUCACUUAUAGAUGGAUCCGCGCUGCAUUAGCUAGUUGGUAAGGUAACGGCUUACCAAGGCAACGAUGCAUAGCCGACCUGAGAGGGUGAUCGGCCACACUGGAACUGAGACACGGUCCAGACUCCUACGGGAGGCAGCAGUAGGGAAUCUUCCGCAAUGGGCGAAAGCCUGACGGAGCAACGCCGCGUGAGUGAUGAAGGUCUUCGGAUCGUAAAACUCUGUUAUUAGGGAAGAACAUAUGUGUAAGUAACUGUGCACAUCUUGACGGUACCUAAUCAGAAAGCCACGGCUAACUACGUG